rnacentral:rRNA from 1 species
UACGUAGGGCGCAAGCGUUGUCCGGAAUUAUUGGGCGUAAAGAGCUCGUAGGCGGUUUGUCGCGUCUGCUGUGAAAACGCGGGGCUCAACUCCGCGCCUGCAGUGGGUACGGGCAGACUAGAGUGCAGUAGGGGGAGACUGGAAUUCCUGGUGUAGCGGUGGAAUGCGCAGAUAUCAGGAGAAGCACCGGUGGCGAAGGCGGGUCUCUGGGCCGUAACUGACGCUGAGGAGCGAAAGCAUGGGGAGCGAACAGG